UACGGAGGGGGCAAGCGUUGUUCGGAGUUACUGGGCGUAAAGCGCGCGUAGGCGGUGCGGUAAGUCAGGGGUUAAAGGCUGCAGCUCAACUGCAGUAAGGCCUUUGAUACUAUCGCGCUAGAGUACCAGAGAGGAUGGCGGAAUUCCCGGUGUAGCGGUGAAAUGCGUAGAUAUCAGGAGGAACACCGGUGGCGAAGGCGGUCAUCUGGCCCACUAUUGACGCUGAGGCACGAAAGCGUGGGGAGCAAACAGG
rnacentral:rRNA from 1 species